UCAGUGGCGCCGUCUGUGGGAACUAGCUAUCCCCAUCUUCAUCAAACGAGGAUCAAAAGCUCAUUUGUUUCUGUCCUUCCAACAUGGCCGGAGAACAACAUAGCGAUCACAGCCGUCCCCUCGUCAACUACAAUAUGGACGACGGCCCGCCAUCCCAUGAAGCGGACGUUCGGGACGGUCAUCCAUCCACCCCGUCUCCAGAGCCCCAAAACAACGGAGAUGCCUCUCACGCCCACAAUUUGGGGGCAGAGACAUUUCAUCCCAUUCCCGUUCCCGUUGAAGGAGACGCCGUAAUGAUUGCCAUGGUGAAUGCCCUCAAUCAAGCCGGUUCUAUGCUCCACCAGCAGCACAAACGAAUCAUGGCCCUCGAAGCCGAACGACAAGAAGCCCGGCCCCAGCCGGUGAGUAGGAUACAACAACGUUCGGAGCCAACGAAGAAGCGAGGACGUCGCUCUCCCGAACCCUACGCCAGCAGGGCACGCGCCCGUCGUGACGGUGGUCGAGCGAGAACAUCACCAAGGCGCGGGCACAGCCCCGACAACAACGAACUGUCUCCCUUAAGGAGCGACGAGGAAGAUUUGCAUUGCCCCCUAUCUCGGGCAAUAAUGGAGGCCCCGCUCCCCAAAGGCAUGGAGAAACCGCCAAACCUAGCUGUGUACGACGGGACUACAGAUCCCGACGAUCACGUCGACAACGUCAACGCGAUGCUCGACUACCGCAAUGAUAUAACCGGGCACCUCAAAUGCCGACUGUUCUCAACGACCCUCAGGAAAGGGGCCAUGGCCUGGUACAAAAGCUUGGCCCCUGAGUCCAUUACGUCAUGGAGAGUCAUGAGGUCCAUGUUCACCCGGCACUUUACAGCUUCCCGUCGUCACCCCAAGACUGAGGCGACCCUUGAAGCCAUAGUGCAGAAGAAGAAUGAAACACUGCGCUCAUACAUCGAGCGAUUCAACCAGGAAGCUGUCGAGGUAGAUACCACCGAGCACAUGAAGAAGUAUCUCCUCGAGAGAGGUCUCUUACCCGGCAGUGAACUUAGCAGAGCCGUAGGGAUCGAGCCUCCCCGCACCUUAAACGAGCUCCUGCAUAAAGCCCAGGCCUACAUCAGAUACGAGGAAAAGCAGGUGGCACACAAUGCCCGCAGCGGACGUAACGCUGGGGAGACCGAGCACUCAAAACGCGAGGACACGAGCAUUUCCCGUCGCAACGGAGACAAAAGAAGAGAAGAAAGACCUCGCGAGCUCCGGGAAGGAAGAGGCCCCGCGGGCAGAUAUAGCGAGUACACCUUACUGACAGCUCCUCGAGAGCGUAUCCUCGCAGAAUGUAUCAACUCUGAAUUUAAGCAGGGCAGGGUCAGGUUCCCAAAACCGUCUGCACCAAAGCCCCACACCGACAAAUCAAAGUACUGCCGGUUCCACAGAAGUCACGGGCACGUGACCGAAGACUGCGUUCACCUGAAAGAUGCAAUUGAAAUUUUAAUCCAAGAAGGGCACCUGAAGCAGUACACGAGGAAGAACGAAGCUCCCAGACACGACGAGCCAGAGAAGAAGAGACCCCGGGAAAACACACCCCCUGACAACUCUCCCUAUCAAGUGGCCCUCUGCGUGUCACGACCGGAAGAUUUCUUCCUCCCCGAACCAUUACCCGAGGGCAAGAUCACUGCACUCAGCCCCUGGGAAGACUUCCCUACCACACUGGUGAUAUCAGGAGGAGGAACUAACGGGGAAUCCGCGGCCCUCUCCGUCAAACGUAAGUUCGACGAACUCCUACUGACCGCCCCCGAGCAGAAAGCGACAUUGACAAAAUACCGGGGAAAAUCCAACCCAAUAUCCUUCUUCCUGGAGGAACUCCCGGGCGGAUCCCCGAACUCGGCCAUCCCACUAUUGAUAAGAGCAAAGAUGGCCCGAUUCGACGUACGACGCAUCCUGGUCGACGAAGGCAGCUCAGUGGAUAUCAUGUACGUCCACCUCUUCAAGACUCUGAAGCUAGACAAGACCAACUUAGCCCCAUACGUCGGAUCAGAUCUCCAAGGAUUCAACGGAGCAACAACCAGACCGUGGGGAUAUGUUGAGCUCCUCGUCACCUUCGGCGAACAAGAAACGGCCAGGGAAGUCAAAAUCCAAUUCCUGGUCGUAGACUGUCCGUCUCUCUACAAUUGCAUCUUUGGACGCCCGACACUGGCCGAACUCACUGCGGUCCCAUCCACCGUCCACCUGAAGAUGAAAUACUACACCAAAUUGGGACGUGUGGUCACCAUCCAUGGUGACAUCGAAGCAGCCCGACGAUGCUACGACGCCGCAGUAAAAGGACAGGCCGUAGUCAGCACGAAGAGCAACUGCAACAACAAAAAACUCAAGACCGAGGAUCCUGCCCGAGGAGUCAACGCCAUCGACCUCGACUGUCGCAUCGGGCUGGACGAGACCGAAGAGGGGAGGUUCCCCAAGGAACGCUCUCUCGAACACCCGGUCCGACCAAUCCCCGACGGGGAGUUCGAACUCAUUCCUCUUGGGGACGAUCCGGAAAGGACGGUGAAGAUAGGUAAGGGACUACCCGAGGAAACAAGAGAAGAGCUAGUAGCAUGCCUCAAAGAGAACUCCGACCUCUUCGCGUGGAAUGCCGCAGAAAUGCCCGGGCUGGACCCCGAGAUCGCGUGUCAUAAGCUAGCUGUAGACCGGGCAGCCAAGCCCAUAGCACAGCGUAGACGCAAGCAAUCGCCCGAAAAGGCAGAGGCUGCCGAGCGAGCUGUAAAAGACCUCUUAGAGGCAAAUUUUAUUUCUGAAGCCCAGUACACAACCUGGCUCUCUAAUGUAGUCCUCGUUAAGAAAAAUAAUGGAAAAUGGCGUAUGUGUGUUGAUUAUACUGAUCUUAAUAGGGCUUGCCCGAAAGAUGCUUUCCCCCUCCCUAAUAUAGACUCGCUCGUUGACAACUCUGCAGGUUUUAAACUCUUGUCCUUCAUGGACGCAUAUAGUGGAUACAACCAGAUCCCUAUGUCGCCCGCAGACAAGAAACACACAGCGUUCAUGACCCCAACGGGCAAUUACUAUUACAACGUGAUGCCGUUUGGGCUCAAGAACGCUGGCGCUACAUACCAACGCAUGAUGAACAAAGUCUUCAAGGACGAAAUAGGGGACAUGCUCGAAGUAUACAUGGACGACAUGAUCGUCAAAUCACACGAGGAGAUAACCCAUGCUCGACACCUUACGAAGGUAUUCGAGCAGGUGAGACAGUGUAAAAUGAGGUUCAACCCCGAGAAAUGCACGUUCGGAGUCCGGGCAGGCAAGUUCCUCGGUUUCUACCUCACCGAAAGAGGGAUCGAGGCCAACCCCGACAAAUGCCAGGCAUUCUCGGAGUUUCCGACCCCGAAAACCAAAAAAUCGAUCCAGUCACUCAAUGGAGUGCUCGCCUCACUCUCCCGUUUCAUCGCCAAGUCCGCCCAGCACGCGUUGCCGUUCUUCAGACUCCUUCGCAAAGAGGCUACCUUCGACUGGACCGAUGAAUGCGAGCAAGCGCUACUCCAUCUAAAGAAGGUUCUGUCCCAACCCCCGGUCUUAUCACGGCCAUCAGAAAAGGAAACCCUAUACUUAUACCUAUCCGUGGCAACCGAGGCCGUCAGCGCCGUUCUAAUAAGAGAAACCGACGAAGGACAAAAACCCAUCUAUUUUACGAGUAAAGCACUCCAAGGUCCCGAGCUCCGAUAUCAGCAAAUCGAAAAGGUCGCCCUGGCCCUCAUCAACACAGCAAGGAGACUACGAUAUUACUUCCUCGCACACACGAUAAAGGUGAGGACCGACCAGCCAAUCAAACAGCUGCUCGGGCGCCCGGAUAUGGCCGGGAGGAUGCUCAAGUGGUCCCUAGAACUCUCCGAAUUCGACAUACAAUACGAAAAUAGAAAAGCCUUGAAAGCUCAGGCACUGGCCGACUUCGUCGCGGAGAUGACCCACUGCCCGACUCCAGCAGAAAGCGCCCACAAAUGGACGAUCUUCGUCGAUGGCGCCUCUAGCACAUCAGGCAGCGGGGCCGGGAUCAUCCUCGAAAAUGAAGAAGGGAUCCUGAUAGAGGUAUCAUUAGCGCUAGCGUUCCCAACAUCAAACAACCAAGCCGAAUACGAAGCCUUCCUCGCAGGCCUGAGGUUAGCCGAGGACCUAGGAGCAAAAGAGGUAAAAAUAUCCACCGACUCCCAGCUCGUGGCCUCACAAGUGCGAGGAGAAUACCAAACCAAGAACGACAACCUCCUCGAGUACUUGUCCCUCGUCAAAGAAAAACUUGAUAGAUUUGAAAAAUGGGAAGUUCAACACAUACCCCGCGAGCACAACACACGGGCAGACGUUCUCUCCAAACUAGCCAGCACGAGGAAAAAGGGUGGGAAUAAAUCAGUAAUCCAAGAAAUCCUCCCUCGGCCCAGCAUCAACAAACUACCACCUCCACUCGAGGUCAACGCUAUUGGAGAUGCCCACUGUUGGAUGACACCCAUCUACAAUUACCUCACACGAGACGAACUCCCGGCUGACCCGAAAGAGGCGACCACUGUCAAACGACGCGCAUGCUCGUACGUACUCCUCGAAGGCAAACUCUACCGGAGAGGAUUCUCCAUCCCACUACUCAAAUGCGUCGAGGAAGAGAAAGUCCCCGACAUACUCGGAGAGAUACACCGGGGAAUUAACGCUCAACACCUCGGCGGACGAUCGCUCGCACGAAAAGCCCUUCGAGCAGGCUACUAUUGGCCGACCAUGCAAAACGAUUCGAAAGAGCACGUCAAAAGAUGUGACAAAUGCCAACGACAUGCCGACAUGCACCUCGCACCCCCGAACGACCUCAAAUCGCUGUCUUCCCCAUGGCCCUUCGCGUGGUGGGGCAUGGACAUCCUCGGGCCCUUCGUCACCGGAUCAUAUCAGAAUAAAUACCUCAUCGUCGGGGUGGAUUACUUCACCAAAUGGAUCGAGGCGGAGGCACUGGCUAAAAUAACCGCGCAGAACAUUCUCCGGUUCUUCAAACGCAACAUCCUCGCUCGGUUCGGUAUACCCCAGGCACUUGUCACAGACAACGGGACACAAUUCACGGACGGAGGAUUCCAGGACUUCAUCGCCAGCCUGGGCACCACACAACAUUUCACGUCUGUCGAGCAUCCGCAGACGAACGGGCAGGCAGAGGCGGCCAACAGGGUAAUCUUACGUGGCCUCAAACGCAGACUCGGCGAGGCAAAGAGGGCAUGGGUCGAGGAGCUACAUAGCGUCCUAUGGGCCUACCGCACAACACCACAUUCUACCACCGGGGAAACCCCGUUCCGACUAACUUACGGCACCGAGGCAGUCAUCCCGGUGGAGAUACGGACGCCAACGAGGAGGACGGAGGAGCCCCUAGACGAGGAAAUGAACGAUGAGACCCUUAGAGCCGAGCUCGACCUAGUCGAUGAGAUACGUUCCGAAGCAGCUCUCCGGGAAACAACCCUCAAACAAAAAAUAGCACUACGCCAUGACGCGAAAGUCAUAAAAAGAGAGUUCCAGGUCGGCACCCUGGUCCUCAGAAGAAACCAGAAAAACCCGAGAGAGGGCAAACUGGCGGCCAACUGGGAAGGCCCUUACCGCGUCCGCGACAAAACGAGCAACGGGGCCUAUUACCUAGAAAACCUACAAGGAGAACAACUCGCUCGACCAUGGAACGCAGAAAAACUUAGACAAUAUUACAGCUAAGUACGCCACGGGGAGACGUGGCAGGUACGGCCACGCUCUUCGUCCCCAAAACCCCAGGGAGGAACCACGAGACCCGGGAACGAUCCGGGGUCACAUAACAAACACAACCCUCCCCGACGGUUGGGAUCUUGACCAAGACCCAACGUCGAAGUACCAAGACUGGCAGGGCACCCAGCUCGCGAUGGGAGGACCCAAGCCUCGGGACCAGGGUUCGAACAACGGACCCGGGCUUCGAUACCCACGGGCACAAAGCCCGACACUUCGUCGGUUCCCUAAACCGAGGAGAUUAACAAAGUCGAGCAGAGUACGAAUUCAUGCAAACAAGUAUCAAACACAAACGAGCACAAUGAACGGUAACAAAAAUAUUCAUACAUUAGAAACGACAAAAGCGGCCGAAGCCAAGUACGCCCGAAGGCCAUAUUACAACGCCCGAAGGCCAAAAUACAUAAGGCACGCAGGCCAUGAUAAGAAAAACAUAUAAACUAAGACUCCGCUCGGAGCUCCUCUUCAUCCUCUUCUUCUUCUUCUCCCCCCAGCUCCUCCUCCACUUCAAACGGACAGAUGAUCUCACCAUCCCGGACGCAGCAGUUAUAGGCCGACCCUUCCGUCACCAACUCAGGGUUCAGAAGCCCGAGCUGCUCGACAGCAUUGUCGAAACCCUCUUUGAAGCAGGCCACAAGAUCUUGGUUGAGAGUCCGAAUAUGCCCUAGCAGCUCACCGCGCGAGCCAAAGGCGCGUUCCUCCUCGGUCUCAUCUGCCAAAGGACGGACCUUUCCCUCGAGAGACUCAACCUGAGCCCGUAGGUAGGCGUUGUCCUCGGUCAGCUUCUGAUGGUCGACCACCUGCUCUUCCAGGCUCGCCUUAGCAGCCUUCAACUGGUCCCUCUCCUUUUCCACCUCCUCCAGCUUCUGGCGCAGCCCUUCCUGCAGCUGAUGCUCUUCUUUGUAGUCCGACAGAUCUUGAGAUAGUCUUUCCUUCUCUGUCCGAACCUGCAAAAGGGCUUCCUCCAGCGAGGCGGUGGAGACCGAAGUGUCGGUCAGAACCAUGGCCGUCUCCAUCACCCGGAUGACGGCAGCAAUAUCCCUGGCCAGAUCUUUCCUCCGGGCAGCAACAUCCUGGUCCAGAAUAGCCUUGGCCUCAGGCGCGGGCACCGCAAUCGACUCCUCGGCCUUGAAGAACGACCGUUCCACAUAGCAGGGAGGCAGAAGAUAGCUGCCCGGUCCAUGCGAACCUCCUGGAGACGACCUGGUAAGGGCCCCAGCCGGACGCUUCCGUUUAUGGAGGGGAGAAGCCGCUGGCGACGGACUGCUAUCAGGAAUGGUGAUCGGGUUAGAUCGAGGAGGAGAGGAAGGAAUCACGCUCGCCGCCUGCGAGGGACCGACCCCGGCAUCGCCAGCAGUCUCCGAGACACGGGCCACAGUUUUCUUCUUCUUCUUGGGCACCCGGUCAGGAGCGCCGACCUGAUUCGCUAGCUUCAGCACCCGAUCACGAGCAUUGGGCAUGGCACCUGCAAGUAAAUUACACACAAACAUUAGCGACCGAAGUCAUAAACAGAAAUAAAAAGCUAAACAAAGUCUGCCUACUCAAUAACGCCAGAGCUUCCUCCUCGGUAUCACACUCGAGCAGAGCCUUCGUAUUGAUAUAACGCGUCUCGGUGAUUAGCUCCCCGGCCUCAUCCAGGUAGGGCACGCCCUGUCGAUUCGCCCAGAACGCCAAGCUGAAGCUCUGCACGUAAUCGACCAGCUUCUUGUACGCGAGCCUAUCCUCCUCGCCGAGCAUCGCGUACUUGACCCGGUAAUGCGCCGUGGAGAGAUCGAAAUGAUCACGCUGCCACCUCAGCGGUAUCUUCGACAUCAGCGUCUCCUCCCCGUUGGGUUCCCGUUGAUAGUAGUAUAGAGAGUGAAGGGCAGCCCGGGUAAUCGGCAUCACCACGUACCACCGGCUUUUGAAAUGGCGAACAGAAUCCUCGUACGUCUUGAACAGACGCACGGGCUGCUUGAAAGAAACCCAACUGUGGCGACCACGGGAACCGGACCUCUGGAGAUGGAAGACGUGGAAGAAGAGAGCCCGGGUGCAACCAAUGCCGAGGAACUGGCAAACUAACUCGAAUGCCCGCAUAAAUGCGAGGGCAUUAGGAUGUAGUUGGGACGGCGCCAGCCGGAGCCACUUGAAGACCGACAUCUGGAAGGAGUUGAAGGGCAGUCUGAUCCCCGCCUCACGAAAAGCAAAUUCAUACAUGGUGAACUGCUUCCCCGGGAAAUGAUGACAAAUGCGGUCUUCUUCCUUGGGGGCGCAGCAAUACCAGUUUGGUGGAUCCUCCCGGCUUAUGGUCUCGACCAUAGCGUGAGCAGUGAUGGCCUCGUCGCAGAAGUCGGAUUCCUCCUCCAAGGGCUCGUCCGCAACCCAUGAGAAGUCGACCUACCCGGAAGAGGAGGCGUGUUCGGUACCAUCUCGGACACUCCCAUCCCCGAUAGGGAGACGAGCGAUUGUCGCGUCUUCGGUGGAGGACCCAGAAUCUUCCUUCCUCGGUCGUAAGCGCCCGGUAGCACCUGAAACGCAGACAGAAAGAGUGAAUUCGACGUCAUAUCAAAUCCACCCUUCCACCGCAGGUCAAGUGAAAGGGCGUAGCGGCGACGGACACUAACCGUGCUCAACUCGGUGGCGCGCGCACUCUAUGGAGACCGGGCAUAAACUUCAUACAGCCUAUGCAAGUAUUGCCCAGCAUAUGAAGUUUAUGCCCGGUACAGUAGGAUCCCAACCCUAUUUUCUACCACCUAAUAUACACCUACAGUCCACUACACUGUUCCCAAGUUAAACCUAACCACAUUUCUACAACAUUAUCAUGCGUUUGACAGAAAACAACAAGGAAAAAGAAUGGGUCACAGUGGAAAAUCGUACCUGACAUAGUUAAGUUGAAAGGGUACGGUGGUGUCCGAGCAGAAGACGGUGGUUCAGAUAGGAGGACGGGCGGAGACGGCGGUCCAGACGGUUGAGCAAGCAAACGAGAGAGAAGGUGGAGAUCUCCGGUGAACGUAUGAGCGAGAAAAAAAGGUAGAAAUGAAGUUACUCAACCCCUUUUUAUAGGGCUUGGCACGUGGACCAACACGCUAGGUCAUCAUUGCCUAGCCUGCCUACGCCGUCUUUGCGCGCGAAACGAAGCGACGCCACUAAUCGUGAGACACGUCUAUCAAAGAUAAGAAGCUGAAACGACCCGAGCACCUGUCCGUCUCCUCGACUCACCAAGACGCCUCCUCCCCGCGCCAUACCCACGUUUACUACAAGGAAGGAGCAGAUCAACCGAUCAUCUCCAUCCCCGACAUUCCCGGAGAAAUGUCAGUCAUGAAUAGGUCUGUUACGACCUCACCUGUCUAACGAUCAAGCUUCCCCAUCGUCUCGGGGAACCCUUAGUUGAAACAUAAGUCAUCUCUCUGGCUCAGAGACUCGACUUGGGGGGCUCCUGUUCUGGACUGGGCCACGACGCUUAGCACGGCGCGGCCCAAUGCUCGCCAAGCCCACGUCCAAACGACCGUAUCCAAGCGACCACGAGGACACGUCAGGUGAACGACCGUCCGCCCGGAGAAUGUCUCCCCGGCCCCUUAAAUACGUGUCGGACAACGAGCGGGUCCUCCUCAUAUGAUCUCCAUCCACUCAUCGUCAACCCACGCCGCGGGCACCUAAGUUGUGUCGGGCAGAGCCAUAACGGCAUCUCACUCACCACGUCACCCAACUCCCCUAUAUUGUCUCCUUAGGGAUAGGGGCAGUUGGACCAGGGGGCAGACCUUGGUCUAGGUCUUAACGCUUCUUACGCGUCCCCUGGCAGCUCCUCCUUGGGCCUAGCUAAUCCAGCCCAUUAGGAGCCUUGGCCCAGCGCUGGGGGCUCAAUAUAAAUACCCCUUUCAUGGCAAAGGGGCAGGUAUUCUAACUCACACUCUGAUAAUCUCAUUCUGUACCUUUUCUGACUUAAGCGUUGGAGCACCUUGCAGGUACACCCCCCUCUCAUUUCAUUCUCCAGCCCAUUCACCAAGACCUUGGAAGGCCCUCCUGAUCAGGGUAUAUCCCAUAAAGGAAGGAGGAAGGGUUCUUGAAUUCAUAUAUGGUAGCAAUUGUUUCAAAACAAAAGGAAA